UUCUUUUUAUAUCAUAUUAUAAUAUAAUAUUUGAAUAUCAUUAUAAAUUAUUAAUCUACAAUGACAUUUAACGAACUUUAAUACUUGCUAUAGAAAAAAUACACUUAGGGUUGUUCUUAAAAUGUCCGAUUAAUUGUUGUUUAAUGCUAACCGGCUAAUAACAGAUUUUAUAACUGGUAGCAUUUCACCGGUUAACUGUCCGUUCAUUUUUAACGGCGAUGGUAAGAAUGGCCCUAAAAGAUACACAUUGUAUACCGAAAUAAGAGCUAACCCAAUCAAAAACAUCUCUACUAUCGAACCAAAAACAUCUUAAUAAAGCAGACAUAAAAUAUAUCAUCCAAAAGCUCCCACCAUAAUGAUACAUUAUCUUCAUUUUUCAAACUUAUAUUUUAUAAUUUAUUUUCCAGUCGAGAGUAAGAAACAUUUUUGAUUAUUUUUUUUUUUAAUGACAUAAUUUAUUUUUGUUUGAUAGUUUCUUGGUAAAUUUACAAUAUUAAUAUUUUUAUUUUACAUUGUUUUUUAAUGAAUUGGACAUCAUAUAAAAUACAAUAUUCAAAUCUGUGACACUCUUUAGAAAUUAGGCGUUAUAAAAGCUAUAAAGUAUGGGAGAGUGUGGAUAUUCCUGAAUGUACAUUAGUUCUCAGGUCAGCUACACAUACUUGCGAUUCCGAAAACGUUCUUAAUGUGGUUUGAUAUGUGCAAAUACAUUUUUCACACCUAAUCUAUCCUUACUAAAAUGGUUCCUUUAAACUCAGAUGUUCCUAAAAUAUGUUUUAAUUAUAAAUCUUUGCUGGCAGGCAAUUGAGUAUAGUUUAUAUUAUAUUUUAUUUUUACAAGCCGUGGAGUUAUUUUAAUAGUCAUACGUUACGAAAUAGUAAAGAAUAUACAAUAAACAAGUUAUUAAAAAAAUGAAAUUAAUAUACAAAUUAAGAUCAAAUUUAGAUUUUUAUUAUAACACUGGAAAGACCUUCAGACAUCGAAGCUCUUAAUAACUGAGCUAAAAUUAUUAUGACAUGGUAUAUCGCCCAAUUUGAGUAUCGUUUUAAUUAAUAAACUAUAAAAUUAAUGUAACAAUAAUUAUGAUACAUUUUAUAUAUUUUUUUUAUUUAUACAAAAAAUCCUUUGAUUUUAAAGUUCACAAUUGAAAAUAUUGUAAAUUUAUUCAGAAUUUUCAAAUAAAUCUUUAUAUUUGCUGCAUAAAUUAUAAUUUAUUAAAACUGUUAUAUAAUUAAUCUUAUAAUUAAUUACCGUCGGGUAUUUGAUUUCUAGGUAAGAUGUAUGACGCAGCUGAGAGUAAGAAACAUUUUUGAUUAUUUUUUUUUUUAAUGAC